AGUGAACGCUGGCGGUAGGCCUAACACAUGCAAGUCGAACGGCAGCACAGUAAGAGCUUGCUCUUACGGGUGGUGAGUGGCGGACGGGUGAGGAAUACAUCGGAAUCUACUUUUUCGUGGGGGAUAACGUAGGGAAACUUACGCUAAUACCGCAUACGACCUACGGGUGAAAGCAGGGGAUCUUCGGACCUUGCGCGAUUGAAUGAGCCGAUGUCGGAUUAGCUAGUUGGCGGGGUAAAGGCCCACCAAGGCGACGAUCCGUAGCUGGUCUGAGAGGAUGAUCAGCCACACUGGAACUGAGACACGGUCCAGACUCCUACGGGAGGCAGCAGUGGGGAAUAUUGGACAAUGGGCGAAAGCCUGAUCCAGCCAUACCGCGUGGGUGAAGAAGGCCUUCGGGUUGUAAAGCCCUUUUGUUGGGAAAGAAAAGCAGCAGGUUAAUACCCCGCUGUUCUGACGGUACCCAAAGAAUAAGCACCGGCUAACUUCGUG
rnacentral:rRNA from 1 species